rnacentral:rRNA from 1 species
GACGAACGCUGGCGGCGUGCUUAACACAUGCAAGUCGAACGGAAAGGCCUCUUUCGGGGGGUACUCGAGUGGCGAACGGGUGAGUAACACGUGAGUAACCUGCCCUUGACUUUGGGAUAACUUCAGGAAACUGGGGCUAAUACCGGAUAGGAGCUCCUGCUGCAUGGUGGGGGUUGGAAAGUUUCGGCGGUUGGGGAUGGACUCGCGGCUUAUCAGCUUGUUGGUGGGGUAGUGGCUUACCAAGGCUUUGACGGGUAGCCGGCCUGAGAGGGUGACCGGCCACAUUGGGACUGAGAUACGGCCCAGACUCCUACGGGAGGCAGCAGUGGGGAAUAUUGCACAAGGGGUGGAAGCCUGAUGCAGCAACGCCGUGUGCGGGAUGACGGCCUUAGGGUUGUAAACCGCUUUCGCUCAUGACGAAGCUUUGUGUGACGGUAGUGGGUAAAGAAGCACCGGCUAACUACGUG